rnacentral:rRNA from 1 species
AGCGAACGCUGGCGGCAGGCCUAACACAUGCAAGUCGAACGAACUCUUCGGAGUUAGUGGCGGACGGGUGAGUAACACGUGGGAACGUGCCUUUAGGUUCGGAAUAACUCAGGGAAACUUGAGCUAAUACCGGAUGUGCCCUUCGGGGGAAAGAUUUAUCGCCUUUAGAGCGGCCCGCGUCUGAUUAGCUAGUUGGUGAGGUAAAGGCUCACCAAGGCGACGAUCAGUAGCUGGUCUGAGAGGAUGAUCAGCCACAUUGGGACUGAGACACGGCCCAAACUCCUACGGGAGGCAGCAGUGGGGAAUCUUGCGCAAUGGGCGAAAGCCUGACGCAGCCAUGCCGCGUGAAUGAUGAAGGUCUUAGGAUUGUAAAAUUCUUUCACCGGGGACGAUAAUGACGGUAUCCGGAGAAGAAGCCCCGGCUAACUUCGUG